GACGAACGCUGGCGGCGUGCCUAAUACAUGCAAGUAGAACGCUGAAGGAGGAGCUUGCUUCUCUGGAUGAGUUGCGAACGGGUGAGUAACGCGUAGGUAACCUGCCUGGUAGCGGGGGAUAACUAUUGGAAACGAUAGCUAAUACCGCAUAAGAGUAGAUGUUGCAUGACAUUUGCUUAAAAGGUGCAAUUGCAUCACUACCAGAUGGACCUGCGUUGUAUUAGCUAGUUGGUGGGGUAACAGCUUACCAAGGCGACGAUACAUAGCCGACCUGAGAGGGUGAUCGGCCACACUGGGACUGAGACACGGCCCAGACUCCUACGGGAGGCAGCAGUAGGGAAUCUUCGGCAAUGGACGGAAGUCUGACCGAGCAACGCCGCGUGAGUGAAGAAGGUUUUCGGAUCGUAAAGCUCUGUUGUAAGAGAAGAACGAGUGUGAGAGUGGAAAGUUCACACUGUGACGGUAUCUUACCAGAAAGGGACGGCUAACUACGUG
rnacentral:rRNA from 1 species